UACGUAGGGUGCAAGCGUUUAAUCGGAAUUACUGGGCGUAAAGCGUGCGCAGGCGGUUGUGCAAGACAGAUGUGAAAUCCCCGGGCUUAACCUGGGAAUUGCAUUUGUGACUGCACGGCUAGAGUGUGUCAGAGGGGGGGUAGAAUUCCACGUGUAGCAGUGAAAUGCGUAGAUAUGUGGAGGAAUACCGAUGGCGAAGGCAGCCCCCCUGGGAUAACACUGACGCUCAUGCACGAAAGCGUGGGGGAGCAAACAGG
rnacentral:rRNA from 1 species